AGGUGAGGUAGAGGUUGCGGGCUAUUAAGAUUACUUGAGGAGAAACUGGGAGAGUUGAUGACCCUUAAGGAAAGGAAUACCUGCCGAAGCAAUUUGAUUUUCUCGGUUAAAUUGCUGGGGUUGCAUUAAAUAAAUGCAGCACUGUCACAGACAAUAUUCCUUCAUGUUAUCUGUGGAGCACUAUCUUACUA
rnacentral:ncRNA from 2 species